CACGUCAGCGCGCUUUGCUUACGUGGCAACAAAUCACGUACACGUAAGCGCGAUUUGUGUCCAUGUCAGCAAAGCACUCUGACGUGG
rfam:Gossypium hirsutum cultivar TM-1 chromosome 24, whole genome shotgun sequence